rnacentral:rRNA from 1 species
GACGAACGCUGGCGGCGUGCUUAACACAUGCAAGUCGAACGGAAAGGCCCUGCUUUUGUGGGGUGCUCGAGUGGCGAACGGGUGAGUAACACGUGAGUAACCUGCCCUUGACUUUGGGAUAACUUCAGGAAACUGGGGCUAAUACCGGAUAGGAGCUCCUGCUGCAUGGUGGGGGUUGGAAAGUUUCGGCGGUUGGGGAUGGACUCGCGGCUUAUCAGCUUGUUGGUGGGGUAGUGGCUUACCAAGGCUUUGACGGGUAGCCGGCCUGAGAGGGUGACCGGCCAAAUUGGGACUGCGAUACGGCCCAGACUCCUACGGGAGGCAGCAGUGGGAGAUAAUGCACAAUGGGCGGAAGCCUGAUGCAGCAACGCCGCGUGCGGGAUGACGGCCUUCGGGUUGUAAACCGCUUUCGCCUGUGACGAAGCGUGAGUGACGGUAAUGGGUAAAGAAGCACCGGCUAACUACGUG